rnacentral:other from 1 species
UCUCCCCUGCCAGGUUUUAACUACGUGUCCGUUCUUUUAAAACCCACAUUUCUUCUACGGGAUGCCAACUCGCACUGCGGAUUGCAGGCCUCCCGGCCCUCUUUUGAGGAGUCUGGAUGUUGGAAGCAGUGAACCGGUGCGGAGGCAACCCACCUGCAUUCUGUGCAGGUUUUUAUCAGGGCGGCACGGCCAUGGCGGGGGUUCU